rnacentral:rRNA from 1 species
GAUGAACGCUGGCGGCGUGCCUAAUACAUGCAAGUCGAACGGAGAUUGUAGCAAUACGGUCUUAGUGGCGAACGGGUGAGUAACGCGUUGGUAACCUGCCCCGAAGCGUGGGAUAACGGUCCGAAAGGACCACUAAUACCACAUGUGAUCCCGAGGAAUAGAUACUUGGGAUGAAAGGAGCAAUUCGCUUCGGGAGGGACCUGCGUCCCAUCAGCUAGUUGGUAGGGUAACGGCCUACCAAGGCGAUGACGGGUAGGGGACCUGAGAGGGUGGCCCCCCAAAUGGAACUGAAACACGGUCCAUACACCUACGGGUGGCAGCAGUAGGGAAUAUUGGUUAAUGUGCGAAAGCGCGAACCAGCAACGCCGCGUGUGCGAUGAAGGCCUUCGGGUCGUAAAGCACUUUUUGCAGGGAAGAGGAAGGCGGUACCUGCAGAAUAAGUCUCGGCUAACUACGUGCCAGCAGCCGACGGUAAAACGUAGCGUG